GUAAGCCUAUAUGUCUGUAAACUGUAUGUCCAUGUAUAUGUUCAUGUGUUCAAUGGUGUAUGUUCUUUAUAUGUUCUUUUCUGUGUUUUGGCAACAUAAGUUGUAUCUUGUCAUGCCAAUAAAGCAUUUUGAAUUGAAUUGAGAGAGAGAGAGAGAGAAUGUAAGAGAGUAAGAGUAAGAGCUCAUGAUUAUGAUCCGCUAAACUUUCAUUGAAUUUUGUUGUUUUUUAGUUACGUACAAUGAAAAGUAAUAUCUUAAAUUAAAUCUAAACAACUCAGGAACAACUUGAAUACCUUUAACUUUAAAAGGGACCUUACCAUCCAACCAAAAAAAGGAAAAAAUAUUACAAAGACAGAAAACAUGGCUAGCUAGCUAACCAACUGCCACAGAACUGUCAAUUGCCACAACAGGAGAAGUGGGAUAAAAUGCAGAAAACCACAAUUAGAAAAAAGAAAAAGGGACAGGAGGAAAGACAGCAACAAAAUAAACUGGAUAAAGGAAAUAGGAAAUAGGAAGCAAAAUAGUGGGCGGAGCUUGUGUAACCUAGCAAUCACAUACACUGAAGAAGUCAGCAGUGAAACAGGGAAAA